GACGAACGCUGGCGGCGUACUUAACACAUGCAAGUCGAACGGUAAGGCCCUUCGGGGUACACGAGUGGCGAACGGGUGAGUAACACGUGGGUGAUCUGCCCUGCACUUCGGGAUAAGCCUGGGAAACUGGGUCUAAUACCGGAUAGGACCACUGCCUGCAUGGGUGGUGGUGGAAAGCUUUUGCGGUGUGGGAUGGGCCCGCGGCCUAUCAGCUUGUUGGUGGGGUGAUGGCCUACCAAGGCGACGACGGGUAGCCGGCCUGAGAGGGUGACCGGCCACACUGGGACUGAGAUACGGCCCAGACUCCUACGGGAGGCAGCAGUGGGGAAUAUUGCACAAUGGGCGCAAGCCUGAGGCAGCGACGCCGCGUGAGGGAUGACGGCCUUCGGGUUGUAAACCUCUUUCAGCACCGACGAAGCGCAAGUGACGGUAGGUGCAGAAGAAGGACCGGCCAACUACGUACCAGCCGCCGCCGCGG
rnacentral:rRNA from 1 species